AACGAACGCUGGCGGCAGGCUUAACACAUGCAAGUCGAGCGGCAGCGCGAUAUGUAGCAAUACAUAUUGGCGGCGAGCGGCGGACGGGUGAGGAACACGUAGGAACCUACCCUCGAGUGGGGGAUAACCAAGGGAAACUUUGGCUAAUACCGCAUGAUUUCGAGAGAGCAAAGCUGCCGCAAGGUGGCGCUCGAGGAGGGGCCUGCGUCCGAUUAGCUAGUUGGUGAGGUAAGAGCUCACCAAGGCGAUGAUCGGUAACUGGUCUGAGAGGACGACCAGUCACACGGGGACUGAGACACGGCCCAGACUCCUACGGGAGGCAGCAGUGGGGAAUAUUGGACAAUGGGGGCAACCCUGAUCCAGCGAUGCCGCGUGAGUGAAGAAGGCCUUCGGGUCGUAAAGCUCUUUAGGUUGGGAAGAAGAGUGAUGGAGGAAAUGCUAUCACUUUGACGGUACCGACAGAAUAAGCACCGGCAAACUCUGUGCCAGCAGCCGCCGUAAGAC
rnacentral:rRNA from 1 species